UUAAAAGGAAGUUCGACGGGGGCCCGCACAAGCGGUGAGCAUGUGGUUAAUCGAUGCAACGCGAAGAACCUUACCUGGGCUUGACAUCCCGGGAAUCCCCUGGAAACAGGGGAGUGCCCUUCGGGGAGCUUGCACAGGUGCUGCAUGGCUGUCGUCAGCUCGUGUCGUGAGAUGUUCGGUUAAGUCCGCUAACGAGCGCAACCCUCGCUGUGUGUUAUAUGUGUCACACGGGACUGCCGGUCUUAAAGCCGGAGGAAGGUGGGGAUGAUGUCAAGUCAGCAUGGCCUUUAUAUCCUGGGCUACACACACGCUACAAUGGCCAACACAAUAGGUUGCUAAGCCGCGAGGUGGCGCCAAUCCAUAAAGUUGGUCUCAGUUCAGAUUGUAGGCUGCAACCCGCCUGCAUGAAGAUGGAGUUGCUAGUAACCGCAGGUCAGCUAUACUGCGGUGAAUACGUUCCCGGGGCUU
rnacentral:rRNA from 1 species